rnacentral:tRNA from 1 species
GGAUGAGGUGCGCCCUGACUUUCAUCGCUACCUCGCCACGGUCUGUACAACCGUUGAAGCCUGUUAAGGGCUUGGUGGGUUCGAUUCCUUCCCUCUCCGCCA